UAUGUCAGUGAUGAUUUUUUUUUAAAGAUUUGAGUUUAAUUGCUGUGAAACUAUUUACAUGCACUACCAUCUGAGACAUG